AUAGGUUUUCUUGACGUUCACAAACACCCAGAAAGACACUGAGAUAUAUAUCUAAUCGGCAUGAAAGAAAAAGUACCUGCUGACUGUUGCCUGAUCUGUUGUUUAUGCAGAGGUAACUGCAAAAACUUUCUCAAAGGUUAACAUUCCAUAUUUUGGAUUUUUACUCUUUUCACCGUUUGCAUUUCUUUCGUGAAUAAAGAAAGGUAAACAAGCCAAGAACAAACUCGUAGUUCACUGACUACUAUCGGAUCUUCUGGCUCUUUCGCAACAAUCUGCUUUCCCAAAGUCAAGAAAAAUAUGCAAUGUUUGCAUCAUUUAUCAAAUUCUCCAGAAAAUAUAAAAAACUUACAAAAGUGA